UUACGGCCGUAUCGCUUUCAAAUAUCGGUUCACGUAUGAUCACCGAAAUUAAGCAACGUGGAGACUGAGCAGUACCUACAUGGGUAACCGCUUCGGAAUACCAAGUGCUGUAAG